rnacentral:rRNA from 1 species
UACAGAGGGUGCGAGCGUUAAUCGGAAUUACUGGGCGUAAAGCGCGCGUAGGCGGCUCUGCAAGUCGGAUGUGAAAUCCCCGGGCUUAACCUGGGAACUGCAUUCGAGACUGCAUUGCUAGAGUAUGGGAGAGGGAAGUGGAAUUUCCGGUGUAGCGGUGAAAUGCGUAGAUAUCGGAAGGAACAUCAGUGGCGAAAGCGACUUCCUGGACCAAUACUGACGCUCAUGUGCGAAAGCUAGGGGAGCAAACGGG